rnacentral:rRNA from 1 species
GCUAGUAAUCGCGAAUCAGAAUGUCGCGGUGAAUACGUUCCCGGGUCUUGUACACACCGCCCGUCACACCAUGGGAGUCAGUAACGCCCGAAGUCAGUGACCCAACCAAGUAAGGAGGGNCUGCCGAAGGUGGGACCGAUAACUGGGGUGAAGUCGUAACAAGGUAAC